rnacentral:rRNA from 1 species
AUUGAACGCUGGCGGCAGGCCUAACACAUGCAAGUCGAGCGGAGCGGCGGACGGGCGAGUAAUGCCUAGGAAUCUGCCUGGUCGUGGGGGAUAACGUCCGGAAACGGGCGCUAAUACCGCAUACUAUCAGAUGAGCCUAGGUCGGAUUCGGUAGUGGGGGGGGUAAAGGCCUACCAAGGCGACGAUCCGUAACUGGUCUGAUAGGAUGAUCAGUCACACUGGAAUGGAGACACGGUCAAGAUCCCUACGGGAGGCAGCAGUGGGGAACAUUGGACAAUGGGCGAAAGCCUGAUCCAGCCAUGCCGCGUGGGUGAAGAAGUUCUUCGGAUUGUAAAGUACUUUGAGUUGGGAGGCGUUACCAACAGAAUAAGCACCGGCUAACUUCGUGCCAGCAGCCGCGGUAAUAC